ACAAAGUGACUUUAGAGAGAGAGAGAGAGAGAGAAAGAGGCCGAGUGCAACGAAUAGAGUCAGUGUAGUAGUCCUAUCUUCAAAGAAGUACUUAAGGCCGCUGUACUGCGUGCCCACUGUUGGCCAUGCGGUGUGGGACAACCAAGCUGGCUUUAGUUGCCAUGUUUCUCGAGCUAUUACAUGGCUACGCGCUCAGUUUUGCUUCGGCUGUCACGUUAUGUGCGAAUUUUGUGUCAAUCCAAGUUAAUUAAUUAGUCUCAAAUGUACAAGAACGUGCGCGUGUAUAAGAAAUAAGCAUCUUUUGAAAAAGUUAAUAGGAAAAGUUGAAUUACUAGUGUUUUGUCAGUGUCAAUGUUUGAUGAAGCAUCGGUUGCACAAAAUUUUUGAGAAAAAAUGAAUUUUUUUGAUAUUCUGAUGUGAAUAAAAAAAAUAAAAACAUUUUUCAUGACUUUUAUGGUCUACCAGCACUCUAUGUUUUGUGUAGCCGCAAAACUACUGCCAUGUAUAAUAGUAUUUGGAGUUACAUUAUGAGGGUUGCUCCAGGGAUUGUCAAAAAUUUAAAAAUUAUUAUAAUGGACUACGAAAGAGCAUUGAUAUUAUAAUUUUAAAAUACUAAGAAACGCCAAUACAAAUUUAUUAGAACUAACUUGGGCACUUCCAUUACUUCCUCCAGAUGAUUUUGAAAAUGCAAUAGACAUUUUAAGCGUCGAAGGAAGAAAAAUUAAACAUCAACAUCAAAAUGUCGAACGUUUUUUACGAUAUUUAGAACGCAUUUGGGUUCCAUUGAAAAAUCUUGUAUCCGUUCGAGUAUCUUCGAUCCAAACUAAUAACAUCGCAGAAAGUUUUAAUCGACAACUUGUAAUAAAAUUAGGAGGCCCGUAUCCAUAUUUAUUUAAUUUUAUUGGUUUAACACCAGCUGAAUCUAAAGCCAGAACGGUAGAAUAAGUGAAACUUCUCAACAAAGAACUAAGAAAUGCAGGUGCAGGAACACCUCCACCAAUGAUAUACCGAUGAGAGAGUGUAAUAUCAUCAUCAUAAAGUAAUGAAUU